ensembl:lncRNA
AAUCAAGUCAGGCCUCUCUCAUGGCGCAGGCACCUAGCUUGUGCAGAUACUUCCACUGUUGAGUGUGUACCUCUUCUCACACUCUCACCUUCAACUUAUCUUUUUGCUUUUUGUCAAGAGCAAAAUACUAGGGUUAUUAUGUAUUAGGCUUUAAAGUAAGCUUCUCCCUCUUGGCCUCUGUGUUGGCCAGGAAGAGGAAGAUGACAGUAGUCAACAUUUCUUGCUGUUCAUUAUUCUCAUUCCUUUUUUCCCUUUCUUUCUUUUUACGGUCACACCUGUAGCAUAUGGAAGUUUCCAGGCUAGGGGUUGAAUCAGAGCUGCAACUGCUGGCCUACACCACAGUCACAGCAACGCCAGAUCCAAGCCACAACUGUGACCUACACCACAGCUCAAGGCAUUGCUGGAUCCUUAACCCACUGAGUGAGGCCAGGAAUGGAAGCCGAAUCCUCGCAGAAACAAGAUGUUUGAUGUCCUGCUGAUUUUAUCACCUGAUUGUCUCAGCCGGUUUCUGGUGUUGGGAAAGAGCAGACAAACUAUCAUUGAUUUAUCUAUCUACUGUGUGGGUUGUAAUCCAGCAAGAGGUAGCAGAGCUGGGAGAUGAAGAGGAGGUAGAGAACUGGGACUGACUUCUUCUAUUUUGUGGCUCCACCACAUUUUGGGACCUUGGAGUCCUCCUCUUUCAUCUCCACCAGAAAAUGAGAAAAGAAUCAGUUCUAAAGAGACGUUGGCCCUGGCCGAGCAUCGAAGAAGGUAAAGACUGUCUUUGGGCCUCUACCCCUCCUGUGAUGUACAUUUCCUACCAUUCAAAGCUCCAUUCGUGCCUACCGGGCUGCUCAACAGAGAGCAAUGCCCUCAUUUCCUUCCCUGGUCAGUUUAAUCAUUCCUUUCUCCACCCUCCAAAAUUAUUAUAGUUAUAUAUAAAGUGUUGAUUCUAUACAGUCAGUAUCUCUUAAUCUCACAUAUACAAGCUAAAUUUUAUUAUACUAAUUUUAUAGAUGAGAAAAUUGAGACCAGUAGACAAAACUACCAAUUAUUGACUUCAUAGGCUUUAUGUAUUUUUUUCACAUUUUAUACACCUUUGCAAAUUACCAUUUUAUUAUAUCACUUUAAAAUAAGACAUGUCACUGUCGGAGUGGUUAAAUAAUUUUUCCAACAUCUCUAAACUGGCAAGAUGAAAAGCUGGAUUUUAAACUUAGAUCUAUUUUCUUUCAAAACCUAUGCUUUUCAUGAGCUUAAUAAUGAUGAGGAUUUUAUUAUUUUAAAAUCAUUUUUACUGCUAUUAAUUUUUAUUUCAUAAUCUCCCCAUAGAAAUAAUUCUAUGAUAGGAUUCUAUGCUGGAAUUUGUAGAGAUGCAGUGCUUUAAACCUUAUAAACAAAUGUGGGAGUUCAGUUUGGAUGCUCUCAGCUUCAAGUUAAA